rnacentral:sRNA from 1 species
AGACAGUGGCCACGUUUUCCCCAUGACAGGUAUGAGCAGCUAAGGUUUUGAGUAACCCUUUCUCCUAUUAGGGGUCCCUAUCCAGUUUCUGGCAGUCCAUCGCCGUGGUAAUACCUGUCCGCCACUGUCUCACGCCAUGCGAUAUCUACCCACUACUCUUCUACAUGCCUGUGACGAAGACUAUGGACAUCAGAAAACUUAAAUAUCUUAUUGUUUAUAAUAUGUAUAUUUGUUUGGUUUUAUUUUAUAUAAAAAUUGUAAAUAU